CCUACGGGUGGCAGCAGUGAGGAAUAUUGGUCAAUGGACGAGAGUCUGAACCAGCCAAGUCGCGUGAAGGAUGACUGUCCUAUGGGUUGUAAACUUCUUUUAUAAAGGAAUAAAGGGAGGCACGUGUGCCUAUUUGCAUGUACCUUAUGAAUAAGCAUCGGCUAACUCCGUGCCAGCAGCCGCGGUAAUACGGAGGAUGCGAGCGUUAUCCGGAUUUAUUGGGUUUAAAGGGUGCGUAGAUGGGUUGUUAAGUCAGCGGUGAAAGUUUGGGGCUCAACCGUAAAAUUGCCGUUGAUACUGGAAGUCUUGAGUGCGUUAGAGGUAGGCGGAAUGCGUGGUGUAGCGGUGAAAUGCAUAGAUAUCACGAAGAACCCCGAUUGCGAAGGCAGCUUACUAAGCCAUAACUGACACUGAUGCACGAAAGUGUGGGGAUCAAACAGGAUUAGAUACCCCAGUAGUC
rnacentral:rRNA from 1 species